rnacentral:rRNA from 1 species
UACGUAGGUGGCAAGCGUUAUCCGGAUUUAUUGGGCGUAAAGGGAACGCAGGCGGUCUUUUAAGUCUGAUGUGAAAGCCUUCGGCUUAACCGGAGUAGUGCAUUGGAAACUGGGAGACUUGAGUGCAGAAGAGGAGAGUGGAACUCCAUGUGUAGCGGUGAAAUGCGUAGAUAUAUGGAAGAACACCAGUGGCGAAAGCGGCUCUCUGGUCUGUAACUGGCGCUGAGGUUCGAAAGCGCGGGUAGCAAACAGG